GUGCCAGCAGCCGCGGUAAUACAGAGGUGCCAAGCGUUAGGCGGAAUCACUGGGCUUAAAGCGCGUGUAGGUGGGUCGUUAAGUGUCCGCGUGAAAUCCCACGGCUCAACCGUGGAACUGCCGGGCAUACUGGCGAUCUUGAGGCAUUCAGGGGCGAGCGGAACAAAUGGUGGAGCGGUGAAAUGCGUAGAUAUCAUUUGGAACGCCAAUGGUGAAAACAGCUCGCUGGGAAUGAUCUGACACUGAGACGCGAAAGCCAGGGGAGCGAACGGGAUUAGAUACCCCAGUAGUCC
rnacentral:rRNA from 1 species